CCCCAUCAACAACCGAAGAUAUUGAAGAGAUGACGGCUGAGAGCAACCGGAUUCAGACGGCUGCGAGCGACCUGAAUCAGUCAAGUCCAGUGCUUGGUCCACCCAACAGGGUUGGAAAGGAUCUCGAUGAGGUAAUUCCUCUGCAAGAUUCAGGAGC